rnacentral:rRNA from 1 species
UACGGAGGGUGCGAGCGUUGUCCGGAAUCACUGGGCGUAAAGGGCGCGUAGGCGGCUGGGGAAGUCCGUGGUGAAAGCUCGUGGCUCAACUGCGAGUCGGCCAUGGAUACUCCUCGGCUCGAGCACUGUAGAGGCAGGUGGAAUUCCGGGUGUAGCGGUGGAAUGCGUAGAUAUCAGGAGGAACACCGGCGGUGUAGACGGCUUUCUGGACCGUAGCUGACGCUGAGACACGAAAGCGUGGGUAGCAAACAGG